GGUAAAGCUUAGAGGUCGUCGGU
rnacentral:siRNA from 1 species